rfam:Schistosoma rodhaini strain Burundi genome assembly, scaffold: SROB_scaffold0004543
AUCCAGCUGACGAGUCCCGAAUAGGACGAAGUGGCACUCGUCAAACUGGAU